AAGUCUGCUGUGUGUACUUUAGCAAUAUAAACUUAUAAUCCUUGUUCUUCAUUUGUGCUGUUUUUCUUUUGUAUAUUUUUAUUUUGUACAUUUAUUGUACA